rfam:Camelus ferus unplaced genomic scaffold scaffold162, whole genome shotgun sequence.
UAGCUCAGUGGUAGAGCACGUGCUUAGCAGGCACGAGGUCCUGGGUUCAAUCCCCAG